rfam:Pyramidobacter piscolens W5455 contig00028, whole genome shotgun sequence.
AUCGAACUUCAGGGCAGGGUGAAAGUCCCUACCGGCGGUAAAGCCCGCGAGCCGCAAGGCAUGAUUCGGUGAGAUUCCGAAGCCGACAGUACAGUCUGGAUGAAAGAAGCGAGUU